AUUGAACGCUGGCGGCAGGCCUAACACAUGCAAGUCGAGCGGAUGAAGGGAGCUUGCUCCUGGAUUCAGCGGCGGACGGGUGAGUAAUGCCUAGGAAUCUGCCUGGUAGUGGGGGAUAACGUCCGGAAACGGGCGCUAAUACCGCAUACGUCCUGAGGGAGAAAGUGGGGGAUCUUCGGACCUCACGCUAUCAGAUGAGCCUAGGUCGGAUUAGCUAGUUGGUGGGGUAAAGGCCUACCAAGGCGACGAUCCGUAACUGGUCUGAGAGGAUGAUCAGUCACACUGGAACUGAGACACGGUCCAGACUCCUACGGGAGGCAGCAGUGGGGAAUAUUGGACAAUGGGCGAAAGCCUGAUCCAGCCAUGCCGCGUGUGUGAAGAAGGUCUUCGGAUUGUAAAGCACUUUAAGUUGGGAGGAAGGGCAGUAAGUUAAUACCUUGCUGUUUUGACGUUACCAACAGAAGAAGCACCGGCUAACUGCGU
rnacentral:rRNA from 1 species